UCUAUCCAGUUAAGGGCCCUAGGGUUUUUAAUAAGUACCCCAAACUCUCUUAUAAUUAACCACUUCUCCCAGUUUAGACUUACUGAGAUUCUUGGGAGUUGCCAGGAUUUUCAUCUUAAAUUUUUACUGCUUAAAAAAGGGAUACAAACAGUAUCAGUAAUAGAUGUUUAUUUUAUCUCUUUCCCAUAGGAAAGAGGACUGAGGACUUCUGCUAAUACUGCCCCUUGCUUUCUGUGUGGCUGCUUUCUGUUACAGUAGCAUCCAAAUGUGAUUAAUAAGGACAGCAAAAAGGAAAGCAAUGGCAGCUCCCUGGCUCUUCCACAUGCGAACAUUUGAAUUUCCUGUUGGCUCAGAGGUGAGAUUUAUAACAUUUAUUAAAGUUGCUUUUCACUGUGAGUUUACUGGGCAGAAAGCCUAAGAGAGACUUUUUUUUAAAGGGGUUUAAUUGCUUGAAUUUACCAGAGGGGUGAACAUUAUGCUUUAUUUGCAGCAGAGCUAUCCACUAAGAUUGCCAGGUGUUGAAUUUCCCUAGAGGAUCCCUA
rnacentral:lncRNA from 1 species